AGAACGAACGCUGGCGGCAUGCCUAACACAUGCAAGUCGAACGAGACCUUCGGGUCUAGUGGCGCACGGGUGCGUAACGCGUGGGAAUCUGCCCUUGGGUUCGGGAUAACAGUUGGAAACGACUGCUAAUACCGGAUGAUGUCUUCGGACCAAAGAUUUAUCGCCCAGGGAUGAGCCCGCGUAAGAUUAGCUAGUUGGUGGGGUAAAGGCCUACCAAGGCGACGAUCUUUAGCUGGUCUGAGAGGAUGAUCAGCCACACUGGGACUGAGACACGGCCCAGACUCCUACGGGAGGCAGCAGUGGGGAAUAUGGACAAUGGGCGAAAGCCUGAUCCAGCAAUGCCGCGUGAGUGAUGAAGGCCUUAGGUGUAAAGCUCUUUACCCGGGAUGAUAAUGACAGUACCGGAGAAUAAGCCCGGCUAACUCCGUGCCAGCAGCCGC
rnacentral:rRNA from 1 species